rnacentral:rRNA from 1 species
CGUGCAGGCGGUGCCUUAAGUUGGACGUGAAAUCUCCCGGCCCAACUGGGAGCGGUCGCUCAAUACUGAGGCACUUGAGGUCGGAAGAGGGAAGUGGAAUUCCCGGUGUAGCGGUGGAAUGCGUAGAUAUCGGGAGGAACACCUGUGGCGAAAGCGGCUUCCUGGUCCGCACCUGACGCUAAGACGCGAAAGCUAGGGGAGCAAACG